UAAUACAGAGGCCUCAAGCGUUAGGCGGAAUCACUGGGCUUAAAGCGUGUGUAGGCGGAUGUCUAAGUGCCUUGUGAAAUCCCAUGGCUCAACCAUGGAACUGCUGGGCAUACUGGACGUCUUGAGCCAUCCAGGGGUCGCUGGAACAAACGGUGGAGCGGUGAAAUGCGUAGAUAUCGUUUGGAACGCCAAAGGUGAAGACAGGCGACUGGGGAUGUGCUGACGCUGAGACACGAAAGCCAGGGGAGCAAACGGGAUUAGAUACCCCGGUAGUCCUGGCCCUAAACGAUGUCCACUAGAUUAUGGCGCCUUUGACGGCGUCAUGGUCGAAGCAAAAGUGUUAAGUGGACCGCCUGGGAAGUACGGUCGCAAGGCUA
rnacentral:rRNA from 1 species